UAGAGUUCGGUGAAAAAAUGGACAAUACUAUCAAAACCCCAGCAAGGGGAAUCCAAAAGGUUAGCUUGGAGAAUUAAACAAAGUAGUUUAGUACAGAAGCAAGGCAGUUUCAGCGUUAAACCUGAUAACGUGAGAUUGAGGCCUUAUAAAAUGGAAUUUGGAUGCAUUUGGAGCAGAAGACAGAAGAAUGGGAAUAAUUUUCAGGCAGUGUGUCUAGUUUCACAGAGCAAUUGAAGGUGACAGGGACAGAGAGAGAGGGAGCGGGAGGGAGGGACAGAGGGAGGACACAUCACAGUAUCGCCCGCGGCUACACAACAGUACAGGAAGAGCGAGAGAUGGAGGGACAAAGAAAGGGAAGGAGAGACUCACCAAAGUCCUCCCAGUGAAUCCGAUAAGCAGAAGCUACCGUUAACUUUUGGAUGCAAGGCAGCCAUCUUGGAUUCAGUGGAUGAGAUUGGCUUCAGCAAAUCAAACAUUGCAGUGGACAAGAACAAAUUUUGUCAUUUUUUUUUCAUGUCCUGUUUGAAAAUCUCUGUCGUUUAUAGUUAAAAAAUGUUGGAGAACCACUGGUUUAGAUUAUUUUACAUUUUUCACUUUAUUACCAGAGACUGGAGCCAAAUCAUUGUAGUUUUGAUCAUUUCAUUAAAUGUCUUGUGGAGAAUAUUUUGCAUCAUUUGUACUCCAUAGAGCGACAUUUCAUACCCAAUUUCACACUGAAAUAUGUAAUCCAGUCUUCUUUACGCUACUUGGAAAAGUUUUUCAUGUGACUCCAAUACAAAUCGAACAACAGAAGCUUAGAGAUGUUUUGAUCUGGAUUUUUAUUCUGAUUCAUAAAAUUCAACUGGUUUAAAUGGGAGAAACUGACAAUUUCAUUAAAUUAUGAGAUUUCACUAAUUUUGUGACAAUUUAUCUUUAUAAUUAAUGAAUAUGCUGAUACAGUUUAAGUGGAUGGAUAUUUAACUACAGAUGGGAAAUGGAGGAAGAGGAAGAUGAAAUGGGAAGGUAGAAAUACAAAAUGUGGUUACAAACUGGGAAAAAUGGGAAGAAACUGGGAUGAGAAUCGACAACAUGGACGAACAAAUUCAUCCCAAAUGUUUUCCUGAGGCAACGCUACUGCUUGAUUUAAUAAUUAAUGAUUAUAGCAGUGAUAAUUGUAGUUGAGAUUUUUUUUAAUCACAUUUUUCCUGGAUUUACCCGUACAUAGAGCAGGGGCGUCCAAAGAGCGGCCAUUCGUGGCCUUUGUGUUAUUUUUGUGUGGCCACAACUCAAGAAUGGCACGUUUGUCCCUCUGACACUUUUUGCAAUUUUU